rnacentral:rRNA from 1 species
CCUACGGGGGGCAGCAGUGGGGAAUAUUGCACAAUGGGCGCAAGCCUGAUGCAGCCAUGCCGCGUGUGUGAAGAAGGCCUUCGGGUUGUAAAGCACUUCCAGCGGGGAGGAAGGCGGUGAGGUUAAUAACCUCAUCGAUUGACGUUACCCGCAGAAGAAGCACCGGCUAACUCCGUGCCAGCAGCCGCGGUAAUACGGAGGGUGCAAGCGUUAAUCGGAAUUACUGGGCGUAAAGCGCACGCAGGCGGUCUGUCAAGUCGGAUGUGAAAUCCCCGGGCUCAACCUGGGAACUGCAUUCGAAACUGGCAGGCUAGAGUCUUGUAGAGGGGGGUAGAAUUCCAGGUGUAGCGGUGAAAUGCGUAGAGAUCUGGAGGAAUACCGGUGGCGAAGGCGGCCCCCUGGACAAAGACUGACGCUCAGGUGCGAAAGCGUGGGGAGCAAACAGGAUUAGAUACCCCAGUAGUC